rnacentral:rRNA from 1 species
UACAGAGACUGCAAGCGUUAUUCGGAUUCACUGGGCGUAAAGGGUGCGCAGGCGGACUUAUAAGUCAGAGGUGAAAUCUCACUGCUCAACAGUGAAACUGCCUUUGAUACUGUAGGUCUUGAAUUAGGGAGAGAUUCGUGGAAUUCCGAGUGUAGCAGUGAAAUGUGUAGAUAUUCGGAAGAACACCAGAGGCGAAGGCAGCGAAUUGGCCCUAUAUUGACGCUCAGGCACGAAAGCAUGGGGAUCAAACAGG